UCUUCUGCCUCCCGCCUACGCUGGUGUAUUUCCACGAGGUCCUGCAUGGCCUGUGUGCCUCCUGCCUCCUGUCUCUAGGACCUGUGAGUGUUAGAAACUCCUCUGGGGCGCCUGGCUGGCUCAGUCGGGAGAGCGUGCGACUCUUGAUCUUGGGGUUGUGAGUUCGAGCCCCACACGGUGUAGAGAUUACUUUAAAAAUAAUAAUAAUAAAUAACAAGUCUCCUCUGUGUUCUCACCAGACUGACCAUCUUGUGAAAGAACACAAAACAGGUCUUUAAGGACAGAAUGCCCCCCACACUGUUUCUCACUUCCACUUUGGUUUUGCUUUCUGGAGAUUUCUGCCAGUCUCGGUAGGCUGGGUCACACUGCACUAACAAACAGCCCCAUAUCCUAGUGGCUCCUAACACUAAGUAUUUCUCAUGCACACGGCAUGUCCACAUAGGGCUGGAGGGCUCUCACCCGCUUCCCAUUCCGGGGCCCAGGGCAAUGGAGCAGCCACCGUCUCCAAAGCUGUCAGUAGUCACGGGGUCUCCACCUGGCAAUAAUGUCCCACCCUGAGGUGACAGAUGUCACUUUUCACGCUUCCUUGGCCAUGGCUAGUCACAUGACCCCACCUAAUCUCAGGGGACACAUGCAUGAAGGGCAGAGCAUGGGAAGGAGUAUGGAGAAUGACAUUAACAAGGACCUCAGGCCUCCGUCUGGGGUGACUGCCAGGCAGCUGUGACCACCAGAGCUCGGGCAGGGGGAGCAGCUGUGCCCUGGGGUGCGGCACACAGCCCAGCCGAACCUACCUAGGGCGAGAGGGAGCUGGAGAGAAGGAAAGACACAACGUUCCAGAGCCCGGGGCUGUGGUGCCUGACAGUCCUACCUUCCAGUUCCAGCCACUUCUGCAAAAAAUCGGAACAGCAUUUCCCAAAAGGUGGAAUUUUAGUGAAGAUCACAUGGGGAAAUAUGCCUUUAUACUCCCAGCGGCUGUCCCUGGAAGGUGAUACUUUUUUGGUGGAAGAACUUUUUGCCCUACUAAGCCCUUUGAUGAAUUAGGGUAAAUGUGAGAACAGAAGCUCGGCUGAGAGUGGCUUUGGGGGCGUUAUGGGGGGCAGUUACAAAAGCACAAUCUAUUCCCAAGAUUUCUUUGGGAGUGACUUUAUUUGGGACGGCUUUGAAAGGGUUGAUGGCGACUAUGGGGGUAUCCAAGCAACCCCCGCUGCCCCUAUAGAAACUGGGAACAGAUCAACCGUUCAGCGUUAACAGAGAGGGUUUGGGGGUUUCUGUGGCAGUCCACAAGACCAGGGGGCAGAUAGAAAAGGGAGCAGGGGGAAGGAAGGCAGCAAGAGGGUACUCUAGGAACAGGUUUUGAAAGCCCCAAUUCCUUCUCAUUCCUUAAAUCCCGAGUAAACUUCCUCUGUUGACGGGUGGCUCACUCCUGCACCAUCAGCACUGAAAGCUAACCUGUGGCCACAGAAGCCCCUCUGCCUCCUGGGGCCGGGGGGUGGGGAGAACCCAUAUCAAAAGCCAGACGUGGUCCUGCCCAGUGCAGAGGGACAAUCCUGAGGCUGGGGUUCCCCUUUGGAAGACUCAAAUCGCCUUCUGAGCAGAGAAACGGGGCAGAGGGCAGCAGAAAGAGGCAUCUCAAGAUCAGGUGUUAUCUGCUGAAUCUGUGUGGGCACAACAAUUUUGCAGAAAAGAUAAACUGAGCCCAGGGGAUCAAACUACUUUCCCGUGGUGCCCCAGGCAGCCAGAGGGGCAGCCAGGGUGAGGGGCCACACCUGUCCUCCCGUGCCAUUAGAGGAGGGAGGCUGGGACUCAGAGAGGGAAGGCCUUGCUCAAGGUCACACAGCAAUUCAGCAGCAGAGCCAGGAUGCAAGGACUCCAGAUCCUGGUCUCUGCCAGCUGCCAGCCUGGGAAAGCUGCCCAGCCCUUUCACCCACUUUUUGCCUUGUGCCCGGGAGAGGUUGAGCCGGGUUAGCAGAGGCAGGAUAUUCUGAGAAAUUCACUCAGGCCCAGACACCAGGAGCUGCAUCGGUCCCCCUUGCACCCCGGCGGGCGGGCGAGCAGCAUUCUCAAAGUCCGCGCGAGCAAGACAGUAUCUGAGGACAGACGUGCUCAAGGUGGGGAGCCAGGCCAGGUGCCCGCCCGGUGCACCCGCGAUCUCACUUAACCCGCGGGCGACCCUGGAGGGUGGGCUUCUCCGCUGUUUUCCGGGUGGCCAGAGACGCUGGGCCGAGUAGGACUGAGGCCCCAGGACUCGCAGUCCAGUGCUCUGUCCCCGGGCGCUGGCGGCGGGAGGGGCUUGGCGGAGCGCCCAGAACGGCGCGGCGCGGGGAGGGCGCCCGGGCCGGAUGCUCCCCUGCCCCGGCCCCGAGCUGCCCCCGGCGGCGGCGGAUCCGCAGAGCAGGAAGGCGCAACAAUAGGGGGCCGACAGCGGCGGGGAGCCCCGGUUCCGGAGCCAGGGUGCGGCCCGCCCCGCCACCGGCACUCUGAGAACGGGGUCCCUGCUCAGGGGACGAACGAGAUUAUCGGAUGCCACCGUCUGAGCCCUUACGGUCUUCCGGGACCUGCCUCCACCGUACCUGGUUUAUCUCAUGGGAUCCUCCUCUUACCCCUAUGAUUUAGCCCCAGUUUACAGAUGAAGCAACGCAGGCACAGAGUUUUAAGUAAAAUGCCCAAGCUUUCUGUGUCAUAAAUACAUCCCUCAGCGAUCCUAGUUCAAAGUCCUGACGUGCUAGGGAAGAUCUCGUCCUGUACCCCGCCCCACCCCAUCUUCCCCACCCACUAAGGGACUUGGAUUCCCACCACUGGCACCCUGUCAUCGAGUUAAGGUAGGCUUCCUCUAAUCUAAAUUGAUGGUGACCGUGGUGGCACCAAGGGGUGGACGGAUGGGUGCUUAACCCCCUCCUCAUGUCCAUCAGAAAAGCC